rnacentral:lncRNA from 1 species
GCUUUGUGUGUUUUAUCCUAGAGCUGGAGGAGAGGGGUGGGCUGAUAGCCAAGCUGGCUGGGCCCUGGGCACAGCUGCCCAGGCCAGAGCAUCAUGGUGAUGGUGUUUCUCACAUUUGCAGCACCGUGGACAAGGAGUACCUUAUUGUUCUGAGAGAGCCUGGGGGAUGGAUGUCCUGAGCCCAGUCCCCUCUGCAUUAAUAUAUCUCUUCACCUAAGGACCUCCCUCCUGCUCUUCUCCAGAGCCCAGACCAGCACAUAGUAAGGGUUCAAUAAAUAUUUGUUAAUUAAUGCGCUGAAUGUCUGUAAAACAGGAGUGUUGUGUAGAUUUCUGAGUGCCAUCAACCCUGGAAUUCAUAUUCCUUUUAACCCUCACAACAACUCUGUAAGGUCAGGAUUAUGACCC